rnacentral:rRNA from 1 species
UACGUAGGGGGCGAGCGUUGUCCGGAUUUAUUGGGCGUAAAGAGCGUGUAGGCGGCCAGGUAGGUCCGUUGUGAAAACUCGAGGCUCAACCUCGAGACGUCGGCGGAAACCCUCUGGCUAGAGUCCGGAAGAGGAGAGUGGAAUUCCUGGUGUAGCGGUGAAAUGCGCAGAUAUCAGGAAGAACACCCGUGGCGAAGGCGGCUCUCUGGGACGGUACUGACGCUGAGACGCGAAAGCGUGGGGAGCGAUCCGG